rnacentral:lncRNA from 1 species
GUGGUGGUUACAUAGACAUUUGGCAUCCGCCUUGGCCAAAAGUCCUGCUUUUCGCCGGAUUUUGGUCCGAUCGAGCAAAUUUUGCAUCAGAUUUGACAUGGUUUAGACGAUGAAAACCACCACCAAUAUCAUAAAGUCAGCUUGAAUUUGCUUUGCGGGACAAGUGGAAUAACAUUCCUCGGGAUUACAUUAAACGUCCGGGAUGAUCAAUUCCACGGCGCUGUCGAGAUUGCGCUGCACCACGGGG